UCCCUGAUGGUCUAGUGGUCAGGAUUCGGCGCUUUCACCGCCACAACCCAGGUUCAAUUCCCGGUCAGGGAA
rnacentral:tRNA from 1 species